rnacentral:rRNA from 1 species
UACGGGGGGAGCAAGCGUUGUUCGGAUUUACUGGGCGUAAAGGGCGCGUAGGCGGCCACCGCAAGUCGACUGUGAAAUCUCCGGGCUUAACCCGGAAAGGUCAGCCGAUACUGCGGGGCUAGAGUGCAGAAGGGGCAACUGGAAUUCUCGGUGUAGCGGUGAAUGACGUAGAUAUCGAGAGGAACACCUGCGGCGAAGGCGGGUUGCUGGGCUGACACUGACGCUGAUGCGCGAAAGCUAGGGGAGCGAACGGG